UUUGUCAAAGACCAAGUGACCAUAGGUGUGU
rnacentral:piRNA from 1 species